GAUCCUGGCUCAGAGCGAACGCUGGCGGCAGGCCUAAUACAUGCAAGUCGAGCGCACCUUCGGUGAGCGGCGGACGGGUGAGUAACGCGUGGGAACGUGCCCUAUGGUGCGGAACAACUGAGGGAAACUUCAGCUAAUACCGCAUGUGCCCUAAGGGGGAAAGAUUUAUCGCCAUAGGAGCGGCCCGCGUUGGAUUAGUUAGUUGGUGGGGUAAUGGCUCACCAAGACUUCGAUCCAUAGCUGGU
rnacentral:rRNA from 1 species